UGUUGAACGGUUUCCUGCAUCACCUCUUCCUAUGACGGGUUUGAUCGAACCUCGUAGCUCGCAAGCGAGAAAACAUUUUAAUAUAUCUUCUGCUAACGUUACCUUCCCUGCCACGGUCGGAUAAAUUAUCCAGCUAACACAACAUGAGAAUAUGCAUAUUUCACUAAUAUAACUAGCUAAUCGGGUUGCUAAGUUUAGCUCUUAGUAAGUCGUCUGUUGCUUUUCAUGAGGAAAAAAUUGACAUGCAGCACGUGCUGGGCGUUCCAAACAUACACAGGGAGCCAAUCAGGUUAGUUAUAAAUAAGGGCAACCAACAAGUAACGUUAGAUACCAUUAGCUAGCUAGCUGCCUUCAAUACUUGGUGGCUUUACGGACAGACAAGACAUAACUCAUAUUAAAAGCCACCAAGCAUCGACCUAAAGGCUAAGCUAGCUAUCAUAUCAAACAAGUGUGUGUGUGUGUGCCUGUACAACAAGGAUCCUUCAAAACUAUCCAGCCCCAGCUAACACGGCUUGACAUACCACGUUUUGACCAUCACCCUCUCUGCCAUCAGUGUUGAGUUGGCUGGAGGAGGUGCAGAUGACAAGAAGAAGAUAAAGGAGGGGGGAGGCCACCACUACAUAGUCUGCAAAACUCCUGUGUGAGACCAAGGCCAUUCCCAACCUGAUAUACAGUAUAGAGCAGUAUGAGAAAUACCUCAUCAACCUCUCCAAGAAAUCAAAGUUAUGUAUGGGAGUGCUUUGGGAUGGGAGAUUGUCUCAAAUUGAAUGUAAGUGUCUACUUGUAACCAAACAUAAAGCAAGACGAGGACACACAAUAGAAGAUAGAGCCUUGUGGGACAUUUCAGUAAAAGAACAUCUCCCAAACUAAACAAACACUGAAUUAUUGUAACUACAAGAUAAAACGGGUGUCUGUGUGUUGCGUAGGUGAAUCUCAUUCAGUACAUGAAGCUGAGAGAUUUCCGCAUUAACUGGAGGCAGUGCUGCAGGAGCAGGACAAGUCAGCAUCAACCAUAACACUGACACACAUGACAGCUAUCCAAAACAUUGGUUUAGUCUCCUAUUCACUCAGCUCCAUCAUGACCUGUCACACCAAAUUUACUUAUGUUUUAUUAGUCCUGCCCAUACGCCCGCAUUCCUCACAUCGUCCUGUUCAAUAGCACACAUCACAUUUAUAAGUUAUAACUCCAUGGAUACAUUUUUCUUUUGGUUCUCCUAUUUUUCCCCAGACCCAAUGGUCUGAGCUAAAGUAUCAGUGUCUGACACCACAUAUCCAGUUGCGUGUUGAAGAGGAUAAGUGCUGCUUUGGAUCUUUUCCUUCUUCAGACCACAGCCUCUCAGGAGCCCAAGAGGAAGCAGUGAUGGAAAACAAUACAUCUUUUCCUUCUUCAGACCACAGCCUCUCAGGAGCCCAAGAGGAAGCAGUGAUGGAAAACAAUACAUCUUUUCCUUCUUCAGACCACAGCCUCUCAGGAGCCCAAGAGGAAGCAGUGAUGGAAAACAAUACAUCUUUUCCUUCUUCAGACCACAGCCUCUCAGGAGCCCAAGAGGAAGCAGUGAUGGAAAACAAUACAUCUUUUCCUUCUUCAGACCACAGCCUCUCAGGAGCCCAAGAGGAAGCAGUGAUGGAAAACAAUACAUCUUUUCCUUCUUCAGACCACAGCCUCUCAGGAGCCCAAGAGGAAGCAGUGAUGGAAAACAAUACAUCUUUUUCCCCUCUAAAUAGACUCCUCUCUCAACCAGUCUGGAGCUGCCCCCAUUCAUUUGGAUGAUCCACUGAAAUGGGUUGUGUUCAUUUGGGCUAACUGUAGCAAAAUUAUUGCAGCCAAAAACAAAUUAGCCCUUAAAAAAAUAAAAUGGGACAACUCUAGAUAGUACAACUCCGCUGCUGACUGUUUUCUUCUGUUUGGUGCCUUAUGAACGUGACCCUGCAGUUCCCAUUGACGUCAUUGGUUUGACUCAGUGCCUGGGUUGGGGCAGCCCUGGAUGACCUUUAUCCCAUGAUGCCCCUGUCUGCACGAGCUACACAGAGGACUGGUCUGUUCACCCUGUUAUCUCCCUUUCCCCAGAGAGCCUUUGGUGAUGUCUAUGAUUUGGUAUAUGUCCAGAGCCUCACCUGUGGAGAUUCAAUGUGUGGUUAUUCUAGGUACAUGCUGUACAGAGAAAGAUACAAGAGGUUGAAGAUGUUUUGUAUUAUCUGAUCAUUUGUUUAAAGCUUUCACUUAGCAUACUGAGAGCAUGCAAACAUUUCCGCUUAUUAAUUUACUGUGAAAAUGUAACUAUUUAAAACAUGUUUCUAAAUUAUAUAAUGUUUCUAAAAUUAUUUUUAUUUUAAAAAGUCUAUAAAUAAGGUUGCAACACAUGCACACUACAAUCUGAAGACAUUCUGGGGCUGUAUGUAUGAAGCACAGGUUUUAAGAGCAGCCAUUUAAAGAAUGAUGUACAGUGAUGAUACACUCACCCUGUGGGAGGCCGUAUUUGCGCUCCAGCCCUGUGGGGUUGGAGGGAGUCACACAGUCCAUGGUCACCUCCUUCCUCAGACAGCGGUCAAUGUCCACGGCACUGAAGAAGGCCACUGACUGAGGCAGGUCCUGCAUACCCAGUGCAUGGGUAAACAUACAUCUGUAAAGUAUGAAGGAACACAAUGUCUCAAGUCUGUUCAAUAAGCUGUUUAUGUAAAACAAGUAACUCACAGGCUAUGAAUAACAAUUACAUAAUACCUUCAAUUUUCAUUCAUUUUUGUAUAUUAUCCUGAAAGAAUCAAAGUAUUUUGCAAGGGGAGAUGUGGCAAGUCAUCAGCAGGACUGUAUGAGUCAGGGCAGUACUACUGACCUUGUGAGAAGGUUGGUGAUCUGCAGGGCCAGUGCUGCCCGGUAGCGGUCUUCGCUGCGGACCAGGUAGCGUACCUCGUCGUGGAUGCUGACGCAGAAGCGUCCGUCGAUGUCGUGCUCCUCCAUCAGCCAGCGCAUGGCC